GAUAAGGAGCCAAGGAGAUCAGCAAGAGCACCAAAACCCAACUACAAGUUCAAAGGGUACGUUUGAGCUGUGCUCAUGCAAGCCAUGCAUGGCUUCAUGCAGACCGUGUUUCACGUGCGGGAUGAGUUUAUUGAAUGUCGAAACAAGAGCGGGAGAAUUACCACGUCAAAAUAUUCGUUGCCUGUUUGGAAGAGAAUCAAAGCGUGGUGGUCAUGUUGGAUUUGGAUUCGGUCUCUAAGUUAUCUUUAAAUAUUUCUUCUUGUUUUAUUUUACUAUAAUCUAGCUGAUAUUGUUGGCUAGGAAUCAAAGACUUGUAAGGUUAGCUACUAUAAAUUAGUUUUCCGCUGCGAAUAAAAGGGCAGCAAUUAUCAAACCUAAUUAUCUCAUGUCGUUCUCACCAAAAGCAGAACAACGUUAUCAUCUUUUAGUCGUUAUUAGCAAGCAUCUGACUAGGACCUAUCAAUUGGUAUCAGAGCAGGUUAACAAUUAAUGGCAACCAAUAAGGAAAGGAUUGAACGAGUGGAGGCUGAAAUUGGAGAAAUGCAAGACAAUAUGAAGCGGAUGGAAUUGGGGAUCAACGAUAAGCUACAUCACUUAGAGAAGACACUUAACAAGUUGGCUGAUUCAAUUAACAACUCCAAAGGAACGGCAAGUUAGCAGGAGAAUAUAGGUUCAUCACGUCCGAGUAGAGAAAAUAAUGAUGGGGGUCGACAACAGUUUCCUUCUAGGAUGGCCAAAUUAGAAUUUCCUCGCUGCUCAGGAGAUGACCCUACGGAAUGGUUUAAUCAGGUAACACAAUUCUUCAAGUACCAGGAGACUACGGAUGAGCAAAAGGUGGCGCUGGCCUCUUUUUACCUCGAGGGUGAAGCCAACCAAUGGUGGCAAUGGUUGCGCAGGGCAUACCGAGAAGAAGGGCGCAUCGUUACGUGGGAAACAUUCAUGGAGGAAUUGUGGGCUCGCUUUGGUCCAACCGAAUGCGAGGACUUCGAUGAAGCACUAUCCCGAGUAAAGCAAACGGGCUCUCUACGUGACUACCAGAAAGUGUUUGAAAGAUUGGGUAACCGGGUGCAUGGAUGGACACAGAAAGCCUUGGUAGGGACCUUUAUGGGAGGGCUUAAGCCGGAAAUAUCAGAGGAGAUCCGUAUGUUCAGGCCGAGGACGUUGAAGGAAGCAAUUAGUUUGGCACGAAUGAGAGACGAGCAACUAUCACGCCAAAAAAAGCUAUCAAGACCAACAUUCAUCAACCGAGCGCCAACAACUCAACCAGCCACCAUCAGAGCUACUCCAACCGUGCCCUUUAAGAAAUUGACUUGGGAAGAAAUGCAACGUCGACGAGCACAGGGGUUAUGUUUCAAUUGCAACGAAAAUUUACCACCGGCCAUAAAUGCACAAAGGCUCAACUGUUAAUACUGGAGAGCGAAGCGGAACCAAAUGAAACUACCUAUGAGGAGAUCACGGAGGAAAUAACUCGAGUAGAACAAGGGGAAAUCAAGGAUCCCAAAAUCACCUUAUAUGCACUCACGGGUUGGGUAGCACCUCAGACAAUGCGCGUGAUGGCAAAGAUUGGUCCCUAUGAAAUUGUUGUUUUAAUUGACAGCGGAUCGACACAUAAUUUCAUCAACACUCGAUUGGCUAAUUUGUUCAACUACCAAUCAUACCCACGACAACAUUCUCGGUCCGGGUUGCAAAUGGCGAGAAAUUAUCAUGCCAAGGAAAAUUUGAGAAGGUACAAAUUGUAAUUCAAAGUAUUCCUUUCUCACUUACUGUCUAUUCGCUGCCAAUAACAGGUUUGGACAUGGUUUUGGGGAUUCAAUGGCUCGAAAUGUUGGGAUCCGUAGUGUGCAAUUGGAAAUCACUCACCAUGGAUUUUGACUGGGAAAAUCAGAGGCGACAUUUGCAAGGGGUUGGUCCACAAUCAUUACAAACCGCUUCGUUAUCAGAAAUUACCAAAGAAAUUCGGCAGGGCAAUGGGGCUUUUGCGAUUUGUUUACAUACAAACUUAGAGAAGCCCUUGAAUGCGGUACCAGUGAGCAUGCAACAACUACUGAAGGGUUAUGGGGAAUUGUUCCAAGAACCCACGCAACUACCCCCUACACGCGGAAUUGACCAUUGUAUUACACUUAAGGAGGGAACCGAGCCUGUCAGCGUCCGACCAAACCGCUAUGCCUACUUCCAAAAGGCUGAGAUCGAGAAACAAGUUGAAGAAAUGCUGAAUUCAGGACUGAUCAGACCAAGCACCAACCUAUUCUCAUCCCCGGUGCUAUUGGUUAAAAAGAAAGACGACAGUUGGAGGUUUUGUACUGACUACCGAGCUCUCAAUGAAGUAACCGUUAAGGACCGGUUUCCCAUUCCCACCGUUGAAGACAUGCUCGAUGAACUACAUGGCUCCGCCUAUUUCACCAAACUUGAUUUAAGGGCCGGGUACCACCAAGUACGAGUCAAUCCACUGGACAUUCACAAAACAGCAUUUCGCACACACAAUGGACACUAUGAAUAUUUGGUGAUGCCGUUUGGAUUGUGCAACGCACCAUCAACAUUCCAGGCUAUAAUGAACUCCAUUUUUUGCCCUUAUCUCAGAAAAUUUAUUCUUGUUUUUUUUAUGACAUACUAAUCUAUAGUCCUACGUGGAGUUGCCACCUUGAGCAUGUUAAACAGACGAUGGAGAUUUUAAAACAACAGCAAUUCUUUAUCAAAGCAAGCAAGUGCAGUUUCGGCCAACAAGAGCUUGAAUACCUUGGCCACAUUGUCACUUGCCACGGUGUCAAAGUGGAUGAGAAGAAAAUUUCUGCCAUGGUGUCUUGGCCACGUCCACAAAAUAUAUCGGAAUUAAGAGGAUUCCUUGGCUUGACUGGGUAUUACCGUAAAUUUGUUCAAGGAUACGGCUUGCUAGCCCGACCCCUCACCAAUCUCCUCAAGAAAGGGCAAUUCGGCUGGAGUAAGGAAGUAGAGGAAGCAUUUGAAAAAUUGAACCAGGCCAUGACACAAACACCAACGUUGGCGAUGCCGGACUUCAACGAUACUUUUAUAAUUGAAGCUGAUGCUUCUGGCGAAGGCACUAGUGCGAUACUUCAGCAAAAAAGGAGGCUCAUUUCCUUCAUGAGUCGAGCCCUGGGAGUCUCAAAACAAUCGUGGUCAACCUACGCGAAGGAAAUGCUUGCCAUAAUUGAAGCAAUUCGGACAUGGAGACCAUAUUUGUUGGGACAGAAAUUCAUAAUCCAAACUGACCAACGUAGUUUAAAAUAUUUUUUGGAGCAAAAAAUAGCUACCCCGGAACAACAAAAAUGGUUGGCUAAAUUGAUGCGAUACGAAUAUGUGAUUCAGUACCGUCCCGGGCGUGAAAACACCGCUGCGGACGCCCUAUCACGUCGACCUAACAGCCCCACUCUUAACCACUUGUUUGUGCCGCAGGUUACCCUAUGGGAUGAAAUCAGAUCGGCAGCCAUGGAGGAUGAGUACAUGAAAAAAAUUACACAAGUGGCUCAAAAUCAAGUUACGGGUCCUUACUCUUCACGAAACGGGUUAAUAUUUUUUAAGGGGAAAGUGGUAGUUCCUUGCAAAUUACGUGAGGCGUUGAUGUUUGAGGCACAUGACACCAAGGUGGGGGGACAUUCUGGAGCCCUACGAACGUACAAACGCUUGGCACAACAAUUUUAUUGGCCUUCGAUGUUUCACUCGGUGCAAGAUUAUGUUAGCAAGUGUGAGACUUGUCAGCGGUCGAAAGCUACAACGCUCAAGCCAGCAGGACUCCUACAGCUGUUACCAAUUCCUUGCCAGGUGUGGGAAGAUAUAUCGAUGGACUUCAUUGAAGGCUUGCCGAAUUCACAAGGUAAAGACACAAUUAUGGUAGUGGUAGAUAGACUAAGCAAAUUCGCUCAUUUUAUACCAUUAUCUCACCUGUUCUUGGCAAAAACAGUGGCAGAAAAAUUCAUCGAUGGUGUUGUCAAGCUACACGGAAUGCCUAAGUCCAUACUCAGCGAUCGGGAUCCCAUCUUCAUAAGCAAGUUUUGGCAAGAAUUCUUUAAUAUGUCGGGCACACAACUGAAGAUGAGUUCGGCGUAUCAUCCCCAAACCGACUGGCAAACCGAGGUAGUCAAUCGAUGCUUGGAGCAAUAUCUAAGAUGCUUUGUUCAUCAAUGGCCGCGAAAAUGGAACUCGUACCUACCAUGGGCUGAAUUUUGGUAUAACACGACUUAUCAUGUGUCCACUGGCAUGACUCCAUUUCAAGCCUUGUACGGUAGAACCCCACCUACGGUGCCAAGUUAUCAUGUGGGAACUUCGCCAGUGCAUGAGGUAGACAGAGCUUUAUUAUCACGGGAUGAAUUAUUAAAUGAACUAAAGAAGAAUUUGGCAGCCGCAGCAAAUCGGAUGAAACAAUCUGCGGAUAAGGGUCGUCGGGACGUGGACUUCCAAGAAGGAGACAUGGUGUUUUUGAAACUACAACAGCAUCGACAGUCCUUUGUGUUCAAAUGAGCGCAUAAAAAAUUAACCAGCAGAUUCUUUGGGCCCUACCGAAUCCUUCACAAGGUCGGACCCGUCGCCUAUAAGUUGUAACUACUAGCAGGAGCAAAGAUCCAUCCCGUUUUCCACGUGUCUUUGCUUAAAAAAGUGAUAGGUGAUUUGCCUAAUGCCGCUGUUGAGAUGCCCCCUAUUGAUGACGAUGGCGUGAUCGUUCUGGAACCGGAUUCUAUUGUUGACACUCGCUGGAAGAAACGAGGGAGUAAGCUUAUAGAACAAAGCUUGAUUCGUUGGACAAAGUUGUCGCCGGAAGAAGCGACAUGGGAGGAUACGACAUUGAUCAAAGAACAAUUUCCUUUGCUGACCCUUGAGGACAAGGGUCCUCUUCCACGAGGAGGCAUUGAUAAGGAGCCAAGGAGAUCAACAAGAGCACCAAAACCCAACUACAAGUUCAAAGGGUACGUUUGAGCUGUGCUCAUGCAAGCCAUGCAUGGCUUCAUGCAGACCGUGUUUCACGUGCGGGAUGAGUUUAUUGAAUGUCGAAACAAGAGCGGGAGAAUUACCACGUCAAAAUAUUCGUUGCCUGUUUGGAAGAGAAUCAAAGCGUGGUGGUCAUGUUGGAUUUGGAUUCGGUCUCUAAGUUAUCUUUAAAUAUUUCUUCUUGUUUUAUUUUACUAUAAUCUAGCUGAUAUUGUUGGCUAGGAAUCAAAGACUUGUAAGGUUAGCUACUAUAAAUUAGUUUUCCGCUGCGAAUAAAA
rnacentral:lncRNA from 1 species